rnacentral:snRNA from 1 species
GUAGAUAAGAUGCCAUGAAAUAGCAUAACCUGGGAGGUGGUUUCCUCAGGGCAGGGCUUAUCCACUGCACCCUUACAUGUGCUCACCUCAGCCAUUUUCCCAAGCGUGGAAAGCUUGAUGGCAUCAUUUCUAGCAGCGGGACCCUUCAAUGAUUAUUCUCCUCC